UACGUAGGUGACCAGCGUUGUCCGGAUUUACUGGGCGUAAAGAGCGCGCAGGCGGUCGUUCAAGUCGAGUGUGAAAGCCCCCCGGCUCAACUGGGGAGGGUCAUUCGAUACUGAUCGACUGGAAGGCAGGAGAGGGAAGCGGAAUUCCCGGUGUAGUGGUGAAAUGCGUAGAUAUCGGGAGGAACACCAGUGGCGAAGGCGGCUUCCUGGCCUGUUCUUGACGCUGAGGCGCGAAAGCUAGGGGGAGCAAACGGG
rnacentral:rRNA from 1 species